GUGAAUCAUCAAAUCUUUGAACGCAAAUUGCACUCCCUGGUAUUCCGGGGAGUAUGCCUGUUUGAGGGUCGUUAGAAUAAAAAAUCGAUGCGUCGCUCUUUUUUUUAAGGGUGAUCGCGUCAGAAUUGAGCCUUCUUUCAAAUGUUACUUCAUGUCAAAGUGGCUUGACAUUCAUCCAUCCGUUACGAUUGAAUCGUAUUUACGAUCAAUUUUGAUUGAGACCGCGCGAUGACGUACCAUCUAAUGUAGAACGUUUGAACUUAGUCAUCA
rnacentral:misc_RNA from 1 species